rnacentral:rRNA from 1 species
AGUGAACGCUGGCGGUAGGCCUAACACAUGCCAGUCGAACGGCAGCACAGUAAGAGCUUGCUCUUACGGGUGGCGAGUGGCGGACGGGUGAGGAAUACAUCGGAAUCUACUUUUUCGUGGGGGAUAACGUAGGGAAACUUACGCUAAUACCGCAUACGACCUACGGGUGAAAGCAGGGGAUCUUCGGACCUUGCGCGAUUGAAUGAGCCGAUGUCGGAUUAGCUAGUUGGCGGGGUAAAGGCCCACCAAGGCGACGAUCCGUAGCUGGUCUGAGAGGAUGGUCAGCCACACUGGAGCUGAGACACGGUCCAGACUCCUGCGGGACGCAGCAGUGUGGAAUAUUGGACAAUGGGCGCGAGCCUGAUCCAGCCAUACCGCGUGGGUGAAGAAGGCCUUCGGGUUGUAAAGCCCUUUUGUUGGGAAAGAAAAGCAGCAGGUUAAUACCCCGCUGUUCUGACGGUACCCAAAGAAUAAGCACCGGCUAACUUCGUG